GAAACUAAAGAAAUCAAUGACUAUUAAAGACAUUACUGGGAAGAAUGAAUUGAAAGCAGUGGACGUGUUUGCCUUCUGUAUAGAGUAUAUAUGUAACACGCUAUUUCAAUGGGCAAAAGAGCAAAUUACGAAUCUAAACGAAGAGAACAUUCAUUGGGUGGUCACUGUUCCGGCUAUUUGGAGCGAGGAUGCACGACAAUUCAUGAUUGAAGCUGCAAAAAAGG
rnacentral:lncRNA from 1 species